UCCGGCUUAUCACCGGCAGUCCCACUAGAGUGCCCAACUGAAUGAUGGCAACUAAUGGCAGGGGUUGCGCUCGUUGCGGGACUUAACCCAACAUCUCACGACACGAGCUGACGACAACCAUGCACCACCUGUGCAGGGCCCCGAAGGACACCGUAUCUCUACGGCUUUUCCCUGCAUGUCAAGCCCAGGUAAGGUUCUUCGCGUUGCGUCGAAUUAAACCACAUGCUCCACCGCUUGUGCGGGCCCCCGUCAAUUCCUUUGAGUUUCAACCUUGCGGCCGUAGUCCCCAGGCGGAUCACUUAAUGCGUUAGCUGCGGCACUGAGGCAUGAACCCCAACACCUAGUGAUCAUAGUUUAGGGCCAAGACUAC
rnacentral:misc_RNA from 1 species